rnacentral:rRNA from 1 species
UACGGGGGGGGCAAGCGUUGUUCGGAAUUACUGGGCGUAAAGGGCUCGUAGGCGGCUUUUUAAGUCAGGGGUGAAAUCCUGGAGCUCAACUCCAGAACUGCCUUUGAUACUGAGAAGCUUGAGUCCGGGAGAGGUGAGUGGAACUGCGAGUGUAGAGGUGAAAUUCGUAGAUAUUCGCAAGAACACCAGUGGCGAAGGCGGCUCACUGGCCCGGUACUGACGCUGAGGUGCGAAAGCGUGGGGAGCAAACAGG